GAAAUGCGAAAAGCAAUGCGAAUUGCAGAAUUCCGCGAGUCAUCAGAUCUUCGAACGCAUCUGGCGCCUACCGGAUAUCCGGUAAGCAUGUUUGUUUCAGUGUGUUGUUACGACUCACAAACCUCAGUGUGAUUGACUAUGAGCACUAUAUUCUAACGAAUAUGUCUCAUUGUCUCUCAUGAAAGUAGCGCUGUGCGACACCGCACUGAUGCAGUAGUCAGUCCUCGCGAUUGAUACUCAUCGGCUUGCGAACGUCAAUAACGCAGCUUAACUAAUCAUCACCAAUGCAUCUGAGACAAGCAAGAUAACCCGCUGAACUUAA
rnacentral:misc_RNA from 1 species